GCUAAGUCGGGCGCGAACCACGGCAACGCCAGCGGCCUAGCAGAAGGAGAGAGGGAGGGAGCCCGAGCUCGAUUUGGAAACGACCCGCCGCUAAGGCGAGGAACGCCCAGAGGAAAAGGGAGCCGCUUUACGGGCUCCCGACGUCGGAGCAGCCCCNCACUGGAAAAGGACGCCAGAGGAGUUCUCCCACCAGUCUAAGUUGUAGUUGAGCACUCUACUGUGGCUCCUGCCUGGGCCGAUACUACUCGAGAGGACGUGCAUAGCAGAGCCCAUGGAGAUGAGCUGUUCCUGCAGCAGCCCUGUUCCANACUAUUCAGAGGAUACUUUUACGUCCUUCAGUGAAGGGGAAGAAGAGGAAACUUCCAGGCACUAUGGGGAUGACUCAUUUGAGUCUUACUACUCUGGAGAGAAGUCAGAAUNUCCUGCNGUGUUGGAUUNCUCUGAAAGCACAUCACUGUUGUCNGGCCAAGACAGCGAAGCAGAACAUGAGCCAGAUGUUUUGGAUUCUGUAGCAGUGGCAGAGUGCUUUACUAGAAAAUGGAUCGGUCUUCUGCAAGACACUAAAGCUAGGACGGAGCAAGUGAAACCUGCCCCUGACCCAGAUAAGGUUAGCCNAAGCUCAAGUCCAUCAGCCUUCACGGUGUCCCCACUGCCUGAAGAAGAAGGAAGAGCUGGCAAAAGCCUCUUUUCUCCGGCGCAAGAAGACCUUGCUAGAAAGCAUCUUGCUUCAGGAGAAACUGGAGGAACACAUGUAUUGCAAAGAUUCUCUUACUCUUAUUGGAGAAAUACACAGAAGUCUUCCUAAGCUGUUAGAGGAUCCCAAGAACAUAUGGCAGGAAUUGAAUAUGAGAGGUCUGCAGAUAUAAUGCCUGCUUGCGAUGGCAGGUUAAUUGAAGCAGAAGAGAGGAACAGGUUGACGUUGCACCAGUGAAGCAGUGCGAUAUUUAGCAAGCUGUUUGCUGAGCAAAUGUGCCCCUUGCAAUGGGGUUUUGGGUCCAAGGAUGAGCUCCAGUUCCUCUCCCAGCUCAAACACAACAGUGCACCAUCAUCUAACUAAAUGAAUUUUCAUAUUAUGGAAGGGCACUUCAUUCUUAUUAUCAUUCUGACAAGGUUGUAAGCAUAGGGUUAGGGGUUUUGUGUGUGUGUGUGUUUCCUUUUGAGUUUUGGGAGCAGCUCACAGCUGCUUUCACCUGUAAGGAAAACAAAUGGCUCUGUAUUUCAAGGCAGGGAGAGGUAAUUAUUGGUUUUCAGCUCAAUCUGUGCCUGCUGCCACUGGCUAAAUUGAAAGCUGGAACCCUGGGUAGAAAAGGGAGGGUGACGGGGCACCGGGAGCUGCAGAGGAAUGCAGAAGAGUUAAAAUGGCUGUUGUUGUUUUUUAUGAUACCNAGAACAAUGACAGCGUGAAGUGGANUUGCUACAUNUCCUUGAAGAUUCAGAGGCAGCGAAUGGUGGUAUUAAAUUAAUACUGUCAAUUUGGAUAAAAAAGAAGCAGCUACCAGAAGCUAAUAACAUGGCCAAANGCUGUUCUUCGGUUUGCUUUCUUGGAGGGACGUACAGACGGCUGCUUCAAAGGAUUUGAAUCAGGCACUCGCUGUCAAAGAACGGCUCCGGAUUUAGGGGUGCCAGUGUGUGUUUUCCUAGGCCUUGGGAUGGGGCAGGAGCUAUCGCACGUAUUCUGGAUUCACUCCCCAUUCCCUUCUGGAUCAUAUGUUAAAGGAGGCACCCGAAAGGAUUUGGCAAGCUUCUGCCAUUUCUUAUUACAAGUGUCCACCGGACUGUUUUCUUGUCCGUGGGUAUCCUGCCUC
rnacentral:lncRNA from 1 species